GGCGUCGCGGCCCCGCCUCCUCCCCGGCGCUCUGGGCCCUUAGCGCUCCGCGGGAAGGAGGCUGGAACCCCGGCAGCAGUGGGGCGGGGAUGGAGGCGGCCGUGGCGCCGGGGAGGGAUGCGCCGGCACCCGCGGCGAGUCAGCCCAGCGGCUGCGGGAAACACAACUCGCCGGAGAGGAAAGUUUAUAUGGACUAUAAUGCAACGACUCCCCUGGAGCCAGAAGUUAUCCAGGCCAUGACCGAGGCCAUGUGGGAAGCCUGGGGAAAUCCCAGCAGCCCGUAUUCAGCAGGAAGAAAGGCCAAGGAUAUUAUAAAUGCAGCUCGGGAAAGCCUCGCGAAGAUGAUAGGGGGGAAACCUCAAGAUAUAAUCUUCACUUCCGGGGGCACUGAGGUAAAGCUUCUGAACACACUCACAUUCUGUUAACUGUAAGUUAUAAUAAAAUACACAGAAAGUGAU
rnacentral:sRNA from 1 species